rnacentral:lncRNA from 1 species
CCUAGAUACGCUAGUCAAGACAGGACACCGGUGUCCGACAUGAGCUAUUUACACCAGAACUCAGUCUGACCCAAACCACCUAUAUUAGACGGGCUGACUACAGAGCGUCUAAUUUCCAGAUAAGUGUUGCGCUUUUCACUUCUUCCUUCUACUGAAGGGGCCAAUACCAAUAACCGGUUCCAAAUAUAAAACCCCUUGUGGGUCUACCGCUCUAACGGUAUCAAUCUCACCUGUUAAUUUCAGGACCUGGGUUCACUCAUAGACGGAACAAUCCGGGACUCACUGCGCAGAAGCCGAUGAUCUCCUGGACAAAAGGCCAGUGGCGCCGAGACGAAAGGAGGUCCACGCAGUAGAAGUCCAGGAUUGUAGCGUAGAAGGUUUGGUAAAAGUUUACCGUCUCAAAUCUCUGUGCCAGCUUCCGUGCGAUGAGGUUCCCGGCCCAAUUGCACCAGAAAUGUUGCAGUGUAAGCAUGCAGAAGCCGAACACAGAAAUAUUGGACACAGGUCUUCAGGAAGUAACAGGCCUUUAUUCACAUUACCGAUCGGGUCUCAGAUGAACUCCUGUUCCAACAUUCUGAGAGACCAACACAUAGUGUACAUUCCCUAUAUAGCACUAUAACUCCUCCCAUUAAUAGCUACACCCACAUAUACCUUUAACCAAUCAAUGAGCAGAAUAUAGACUUGUACAUCUAGUCAAACCACAUGGCUCAUCCAAGACAAAGGAAAUAAGUGCAAUUUCAGUUCCUGCAUUCCUGCACAUGCUCAGUACACUGAUGACAGUAUCCUAG